rnacentral:lncRNA from 1 species
GUUUAGAGUUGUUAAUUACCAAAAUUCAUCAAAUGAAUUUCUGAACUGACUCUCUGUGAGUGACAUGUUGCCUUGUAUGUCAAAGAAGAGACUAGGAGGAGGACUGGCAUGGUGGAGGCUGCUUCCUUGAGUUUUUCUGUAAAAUGAAUAUUUACAGGAUCUUCAGAUUUCUUUUCUCUCUGAGCAGAUGUUACAGAGCCUAUUUACAUGUUCAUGUUUUACAGACAAUUGGAAAAGCAAAAUAAUAAAAAUGAAAGAGAAAAAUUCCUGCACAGUUAAGAAUCACCAAACAUGCAGCUCAGCUUGGGGAAUGGG